rnacentral:tRNA from 1 species
GCCUUCGUGGUAUAAUGGUCAGCAGAUUCGACACGUAUUCGAGAGGUCCAAGGUUCGAGUCCUGGCGAGGGCA